UACGUAGGAGGCAAGCGUUGUUCGGAAUUAUUGGGCGUAAAGAGCGUGUAGGCGGCUAGGUAGGUCCGUUGUGAAAACUCGAGGCUCAACCUCGAGACGUCGAUGGAAACCAUCUAGCUAGAGUCCGGAAGAGGAGAGUGGAAUUCCUGGUGUAGCGGUGAAAUGCGCAGAUAUCAGGAAGAACACCCGUGGCGAAGGCGGCUCUCUGGUACGUGACUGACGCUGAGACGCGAAAGCGUGGGGAGCGAACAGG
rnacentral:rRNA from 1 species